CUGCAAGGGGUGCUGGGAAGGCGCUCUUGGCUGCCCGCGGGUUCGGCAGAGGCUCUCGCGACCCGUAACACGGGGUGGCGCCCCCAGGCGGCAGCAAAACCGAGGCGCUGCUUCCUCCCUGAACGUGGGGAGGAGGCGGCAGGUGGGGAAAGGCCACAUAUGGCCACCGGGAUGACCCUGGCCACGGAACUGUCUAGCGAAAUGCCCUAACCCACCUCCUGGAGUUACUCAAGGGGUAGAAAACGUCGUCACGAGUUGAGAAGCGCCUGUUGGAUUCCAGAUGUGGAGAAGCGGGUCCAUUUGAGAGAAAAUAUUCGGGAAACAUUAGCAGAGGUGGCAGAAAGUGCCCAAAACAGGGCCCGGCACACAGUGAGAACUCCGUAAACAUCUGGCUCGUGAGUGAUUGUGUAUGCCUAGAGACACAGCUCUGGACGGACAUAACCCCCAACUUUGGAGCUGGUCAUCUUGGAGACGGCUGGUGAUGUCAGUGUUUUCAGAUGUUCCCCACCGGGAAUGUAACGCCACUGGCGUCCAUACGAAAUUUCUCAGGGCAGUUUUGUUGCAGAGCCCUAACAGCUGCGUGGCAUCCUUCCUGGACCUCAGUUUGCUCAUCUGGAAAACGCGGAUGAUCCUAGCACCAUCCCCAGAACAAUCCCUUGAGAACCAACCCUCUGAGUCUGGAAUCUCGAAGAAAGAGUUAAAUCCACUCCGGGGCGGUGACAUUUGCAAUGCAUGAAGUUUAAACAUUUUCAAUAAAGAAAAACAAAU